rnacentral:lncRNA from 1 species
GGGUUUGUACCUCUUUCGCCUCUCCAAGGGGGUGGUAGGCCUUGGAAAUACUAUAUUGAUGGUCACUCACUACACAUAUACUAUGCCCUACUAAAUAUGAUUUUUAUAUAAGCAUCAUUAUACAUAUCAUCUCAUUAAUAUGCUAUCUAUCGGGUACGAUUAUGCAUUUUGCCUAUGAUGUCCAUCCCUUGUUGCAUUGCAUUGCAUCC